rnacentral:rRNA from 1 species
AUUGAACGCUGGCGGCAGGCCUAACACAUGCAAGUCGAACGGUAACAGGAAGACGCUUGCUUCUUUGCUGAUGAGUGGCGGACGGGUGAGUAAUGUCUGGGAAACUGCCUGAUGGAGGGGGAUAACUACUGGAAACGGUAGCUAAUACCGCAUAACGUCGCAAGACCAAAAAGGGGGACCUUCGGGCCUCUUGCCAUCGGAUGUGCCCAGAUGGGAUUAGCUAGUAGGUGGGGUAACGGCUCACCUAGGCGACGAUCCCUAGCUGGUCUGAGAGGAUGACCAGCCACACUGGAACUGAGACACGGUCCAGACUCCUACGGGAGGCAGCAGUGGGGAAUAUUGCACAAUGGGCGCAAGCCUGAUGCAGCCAUGCCGCGUGUAUGAAGAAGGCCUUCGGGUUGUAAAGUACUUUCAGCGGGGAGGAAGGGAGUAAAGUUAAUACCUUUGCUCAUUGACGUUACCCGCAGAAGAAGCACCGGCUAACUCCGUG